GCACGGUUUUCUGACAUAAUAUUUUCCAUGGCAAUGCUGCAUCUCCAGCUCUUCCCUCUGAACUUCAUGUGAGCCGUGAGCUAAGCUGGACAUUGAUGUCUACCUUUCAGAUGGUUGGUGCCAUAAAAGGAACACAUGCAUGCAGGAAAAAACUAAAGGAGAUUUAGUGAAUUGAGGAGACAACUGGAGGUGGUUUAAAAGGAUGGAGUGCAAAGAAAGAGCCAAUGACACUUAAGUGGCCAAGUAGUUUACAAGCAUUAAGGUAAGCAAACCCUCACUCAGAGCUUAUGGUCAGACAUGUGAUUUUAAUUAUGGGAUAGGUAGAUA
rnacentral:lncRNA from 1 species